AUGGGUGACCUGAUUCCGGGGCUCCCGGAGGAGGUGGCGCGGGAAUGCCUGCUCCGGGUGGGGUUCCGUCAGCUCCCAGCAGCGCGCCGCACCUCGCGGCAGUGGAAGGCGGAGGUGGAAUCGCCGCUCUACGGCCGCCUCCGCCGGGCCAACGGCCAUGCCCGCCCGAUCCUCGCCCUCGCCCAGGCCCUUCCCCCGCUCGCCGCCUCGGGCCCGGCCCACAAGUACGCUGCGUCCGCCGCCCUCUCCAACUCCUACCGGCUCGUGCUCCACGACCCGGCCGACGGAGGGUGGGCCACGCUGCCCCCGCUCCCAGGCGGCCGGGGGCUCCCGCUCUUCUGCCAGCUCGCCGCCGUGGCUUGUGUCGAGAGGAGGAAGCCGGUGGUGGUGGGCGGGUGGGACCCUGAGACGUGGGCGCCGACGGACACGGUGCACGUGUACGACUUCCUGGAGGGCGCGUGGCGGAGCGGCGCGCCGAUGCCUGGGCCGCGUCGGUCGUUCUUCGCGUGCGCGGCGGCCGGAGGAAGGGUGUUCGUCGCAGGCGGACACGACGAGGAGAAGAACGCGCUGCGGUCGGCGGUGGCAUACGACGCCGAGGCCGACGCGUGGGCGGCGCUGCCCGACAUGGCGCUGGAGCGGGACGAGCCAAGAGGGAUCUGCGUCGGCGCCAGGUUCGUCGUGGCAUUCGACACAGACGCCUGGGCGUGGGAUCCAGUGCUGGACAGGUUGGUCGACGAGGGGGCGUGCCCGAGGACGUGCUGCGCCGCGCCGUCCGCAGCAGGCGCCAUGUACAUGCUACGUGGUGGCCACCUCGCGGUGCGGGACGGCGACAGCGUGUGGCGGGUGGUGGCGCCGGUACCGGAGGACGGGCGCGCGGCGACGGUCGUCGUGGCCAUCGGGGACGGCCGCGUGGCCGCCAUCGGCGCCGGGCGCCACGGCGGUGAGCAGGCCGUGUAUGUGCUCAGCAAGGAGGCUGGAACCAACGGGGCGGCGCCGUCGUGGGCGCGCGUCCUGGCGCCUCAGGAGUUCGCCGGGCACGUGCAAGCCGCGUGUUGCGUAGAAGUAUGA
rnacentral:rRNA from 1 species